AAUCGACACUCCUCGCUGAUUCCUGAACCAAAAUCGUCCUUAGCUUUUGCUCCAAAAUGUCUCCUUAUCUCCA
rnacentral:sRNA from 1 species